rnacentral:rRNA from 1 species
GACGAACGCUGGCGGCGUGCUUAACACAUGCAAGUCGAACGGAAAGGCCCUGCUUUUGUGGGGUGCUCGAGUGGCGAACGGGUGAGUAACACGUGAGUAACCUGCCCUUGACUUUGGGAUAACUUCAGGAAACUGGGUCUAAUACCGGAUAGGAGCUCCUGCUGCAUGGUGGGGGUUGGAAAGUUUCGGCGGUUGGGGGUGGACUCGCGGCUUAUCGGCUUGUUGGUGGGGUAGUGGCUUACCAAGGCGUUGACGAGUAGCCGGCCUGGGAGGGUGACCGGCACCAGGGGACUAAGGGAGGGACCAGGGCGCUAAGGGGGGCAAGGGGGGGGAAUUUUGGAAAAGGGGGGGGAGGGAGAGAAGAACACCCCCGGGUGGGGAAGAUCGCCUGUCGGGGGAGAAACGGUUGAGGCUAAGAACAAGUGUGAAUGACGGUAAUUGGAAAAGAAGCACCGGCUAACUACGGG